rnacentral:rRNA from 1 species
UACGUAGGGUGCGAGCGUUGUCCGGAAUUAUUGGGCGUAAAGAGCUCGUAGGCGGUCUGUCGCGUCGAUCGUGAAAACUUGGGGCUUAACCCUGAGCUUGCGGUCGAUACGGGCAUGACUGGAGUUCGGCAGGGGAGGACUGGAAUUCCUGGUGUAGCGGUGAAAUGGACGCAGAGAUCAGGAGGAACGACCGGUGGCGAAGGCGGGUCUC